GAUCAGAUGGCCGAGUUUGUCUAAGGUGCCAGAUUAAGGCUCUGGUCCGAAAGGAAGGGCGUGGGUUCAAAUCCCACUCUGGUCA
rfam:Triticum aestivum genome assembly, contig: Triticum_aestivum_CS42_TGACv1_scaffold_034225_1BL